rnacentral:sRNA from 1 species
UGAUACCAGGGUCCCAAGGCCAAGUGUUACAGGCUUGCAUCAAAAAACAUGACUUUAGGACCCUAAAACAUGAGAAAGCAGACCGAACAAGGCGGAUUUCGAAUGUUUUUAGGAUUGUGCGGGCACGAAGUACGCAAUAAUCCGCAGGUGUCA